rnacentral:rRNA from 1 species
GAUUACCCGCUGAACUUAAGCAUAUUACUAAGCGGAGGAAAAGAAACUAACAAGGAUUCCCCUAGUAACGGCGAGUGAAGAGGGAAAAGCCCAGCACCGAAUCCCACAGCCUUGCGCUGUCGGGAACUGUGGUGUAUAGGAAGCCUACUUGUCGACGUGUUCGGGUACCCAAGUCCUCCUGAUCGUGGCCUCUCCCAUAGCGGGUGUCAGGCCCAUACAGGCACCCGACGGCGUCGGCUUGGAGCUUCCUCGGAGUCGGGGUUGUUUGUGAAUGCAC